rnacentral:rRNA from 1 species
UGGGGAAUAUUGGACAAUGGGCGAAAGCCUGAUCCAGCCAUGCCGCGUGUGUGAAGAAGGUCUUCGGAUUGUAAAGCACUUUAAGUUGGGAGGAAGGGCAGUUACCUAAUACGUGAUUGUUUUGACGUUACCGACAGAAUAAGCACCGGCUAACUCUGUGCCAGCAGCCGCGGUAAUACAGGGGGUGCAAGCGUUAAUCGGAAUUACUGGGCGUAAAGCGCGCGUAGGUGGUUAGUUAAGUUGGAUGUGAAAUCCCCGGGCUCAACCUGGGAACUGCAUUCAAAACUGACUGACUAGAGUAUGGUAGAGGGUGGUGGAAUUUCCUGUGUAGCGGUGAAAUGCGUAGAUAUAGGAAGGAACACCAGUGGCGAAGGCGACCACCUGGACUGAUACUGACACUGAGGUGCGAAAGCGUGGGGAGCAAACAGGAUUAGAUACCCUAGUAGUCCACGCCGUAAACGAUGUCAACUAGCCGUUGGGG